GACGGAGAAGUUACGCGACCCGAACCGAUAACUUAAGUGAAUAGUAACUUCGGUUUUCCGGAUGAGCCAAUGAUUAGAGAAGGGUUCUGGUGCACGUUAAUUGAACUCCGAAUAUAGGACUAGCUCGUUUCGAACAGCUCGACCAUUCUGGACCCAAUGGCACUGACGGAAUUGGGUUCUGAUGCACGGUUGUCGAGAAAAAGGGAUUUGAUUGAAAUUACACGUAUUAAUAUAAAUGGUUAUAUGGUGAAAAUAGAGAUGGCAGGUUUCGUCGCUGAUCGAAGUCCAAAUCAGAUGAAAUAAAAUG
rnacentral:lncRNA from 1 species